rnacentral:misc_RNA from 1 species
GAAUGAAGAACGUAGCGAAAUGCGAUACUUGGUGUGAAUUGCAGAAUCCCGUGAACCAUCGAGUUUUUGAACGCAAGUUGCGCCCGAAGCCGUUAGGCCGAGGGCACGUCUGCCUGGGCAUCACACGUCGUUGCCCCUCCCAACCCCUUCGGGAGUUGGAUGGGACGGAUGAUGGCCUCCCGUGUGCCCGGUCACGCGGUUGGCAUAAAUAACAAGUCCUCGGCGACUACCGCCACGACAAUCGGUGGUUGUCAAACCCCGGUAUCCUGUCGCGCGCGUGUCGUUCGUGGAUUUCCUAUCCAAUGCGUGUCGAUUCGUCGAUGCUUUCAACGCGACCCCAGGUCAGGCGGGGUUACCCGCUGAAUUUAAGCAUAUCAAUAAGCGGAGGA